rnacentral:rRNA from 1 species
CCGCGGCGUAUUAGUUAGUUGGUGAGGUAAUGGCUCACCAAGACGAUGAUACGUAGCCGACCUGAGAGGGUGAUCGGCCACAUUGGGACUGAGACACGGCCCAAACUCCUACGGGAGGCAGCAGUAGGGAAUCUUCCGCAAUGGACGAAAGUCUGACGGAGCAACGCCGCGUGAGUGAAGAAGGUUUUCGGAUCGUAAAACUCUGUUGUCAGAGAAGAACAAGUCGGAGAGUAACUGCUCCGGCCUUGACGGUAUCUGACCAGAAAGCCACGGCUAACUACGUGCCAGCAGCCGCGGUAAUACGUAGGUGGCAAGCGUUGUCCGGAUUUAUUGGGCGUAAAGCGAGCGCAGGCGGUUCCUUAAGUCUGAUGUGAAAGCCCACGGCUCAACCGUGGAAGGUCAUUGGAAACUGGGGAACUUGAGUGCAGAAGAGGAGAGUGGAAUUCCAUGUGUAGCGGUGAAAUGCGUAGAUAUAUGGAGGAACACCAGUGGCGAAGGCGACUCUCUGGUCUGUAACUGACGCUGAGGCUCCAAAGCGUGGGGAGCAAACAGGAUUAGAUACCCUGGUAGUCCACGCCGUAAACGAUGAGUGCUAAGUGUUGGAGGGUUUCCACCCUUCAGUGCUGCAGCUAACGCAUUAAGCACUCCGCCUGGGGGAGUACGGCCGCAGGCUGAAACUCAAAGGGAUUGACGGGGACCCGCACAAGCGGUGGAGCAUGGUGGUUUAAUUCGAAGCAACGCGAAGAACCUUACAGGUCUUGACAUCCUUUGACAAUCUAGAGAUAGGACUUUUCCCUUCGGGGA